CAAAAAACAAAACAGAGUAGAAUCUUUAUGAAACUCUCCUGAGAGACUCUCAUAACACGGUUCAAAUACAUGAGAACAAAAAUCUUGCUACUGGGUGGUGUAUUCGUUUCCCUGGCUGCCAUAACAAAUUACCACAAACUGAGUGCCUGAGAAAUUUGCUCUCACAGUUCUGGAGGCCAGAAUUCUGAAAUCAAAGUGUCAGCAGAAUCUCAGAAGGCUCUAGGAGAGGAUCUGGCUUGUGGACACAUCAUCCCAAACUCUGCCUCUGUCAUCACAUAGUGUUUUUCUUGUGCUUCUGUCUGUAAGUCUCUGCUCCUCUUCUUAUAAGGACACCAGUCACGUUGGAUUACUGCCCAUCCUAAUGACCUCCUCUUAACUUGACUACAUCUGCAAAGACAUUAUUUCCAAAUAAGGUCAUAUUCACAGGUGCUGGGGGUUAGGACUUCAGCAUAUCUUUUGGAAGGGGACACAAUUCAACCCAUAAGAGAUGGGAAGACUCAAUGUUAAAAAGAUGCACAUUUUCAAACCAAUCUGUAAAUCCUAUGCGAUCUCAAUAAAAAUCCCAAAGGGAUUCCAAGUGGAUUCUGAAACUCAGAGGGGGAGGGGAGCAAUAUGAAAAUAGCCUAAGUGUGUGUGAUACUAAUGGAGGAGCAGAUGGAUCAGUGCAACACGAUAGUGCAGACCCAAUUGAGCGAGUGUGUAUGUGUGUGUUAUGGGUUGAAUUGUGUCCCUCUAAAAUCCACAUGUCGAAAUUCUAACCCACAGUACCUCAGAAUUUAACUGUAUUUGGAGAUGGGGUCUUUAAGGAGGUAUUUAAAUUAAAUGAGAUCGUUAGGUUUGGCUUUAAUACAAUAUGAUUGGUGUCCUUAUAAGAAGAGGAGAUUAGGACACAGACACGCACAGAGGUAAGCCCAAGUGAAUAACUUGAUCUUGGACUUCUAGCUUCAGAACUGUGAGCAAACAAAUGUCUGUUGUUUAAGCCAGCCAGUCGGUGGUGCAUUGUUACCGCAGCCCUAGCAGACGAACACAG
rnacentral:lncRNA from 1 species